rnacentral:lncRNA from 1 species
CCCGAGGAGAGGAAGAUGCACAUGCCCUUCCAGAAGGGGAUGCCCUUUGACCUCUGCUUCCUGGUGCAGAGCUCAGAUUUCAAGGAACAUGGAUGGAGCUGGAAGCCGUUGCAGGAGCAGAAAACCAAACACCGCAAGUUCUCACUUAUAAGUAGGAGCUGAACGAUGAGAACACAUGGACACAAGCGGGGAAACAACACACACUGGGGCCUGGUCGGGGACGGAGAGCAUCAGGAAGAUUAGCUAAUGGAUGCUGGGCUUGAUACCAAGGUGAUGGUGAACGGGAGCCUCUUCGUGCAGUACUUCCACCGCGUGCCCUUCCACCGUGUGGACACCAUCUCCGUCAAUGGCUCUGUGCAGCUGUCCUACAUCAGCUUCCAG